AAUAAUAAAGUAUGAUGCUAUUAUGUGUAUAAAACAUAAACAAUCAUCAAAGCUUUAAUAGACCCGCAUGUAUUCUCCCCCAAAUAUUAAAGCAAUAAAAGAAGGGCUGUAGAACUCACAUUCGAUGCGUGAUCUCGAUACUGGUUCGUUUUCGUGAAGCCUUUUAGUGAAUAACCACAAAAUAAACAUUCUUGAACUUUGAAACACUUUAGGGUUUGGGACUGAUUUCUUAAUGCUUUGUCAAAUGAGGGUUCAUUUUGUCAUUUUUUUAAGAAAUUUAAAAGGGAUUAGGGUUUUUAUGAAAAGAAUUCUCAUAGUGGGAUCAUUUUUGUUUAAUGGUUCAAACUUUAAAGAAAUUAGGGCUUAAAUUGCCCUGUCUCUUUUGUUUUGAUCGGGUAUAGGGAAGAAUGAAUGAAGGCGACGAACACAGAGAGGAAAAAUAAAGGAAGCACGAACGCAGCGAUUUGGUGGUGACGUUCGGUCCCUCGUGAGGAGGAGAGGAGAACUCCAAUCUCCGACGACUCCCUCACGUGUUUCUGCACGUCGUUGGCAGCGAGGAGUUCCGAUUGCGAAAACCACAAGAUCGAAGGCGAGGCAGGAGGCGGCAUAAGGGGGUGCGAAGGAUCGCAUUCGGUCAAUCGAUUCGCGAAGAGAUCGUCUCCGGGAUCGACGAGGCCGAAGAAAUGAAGGUGGGAAGAAGCCGUGAAGCCCUCUUCCUGCCCCGAUGGUGAUGUGCGAAGGGGGAAAGGAACCGGUGGUUGAAUGAUUCAAACGAAGAGGAGGGUGCCGUUCUCCAGCGGGCCUUCCCCUUCGAUUUGGGUCGUCUACUUCGCCUGAACAGGAAGAACAAGGAAUCAAAGAGCUGGUCUGAUCGUUGUAUCUCCGACAGGAGCUGCAGAGGCAGCCCCAUAUGGAUUAGGGAAUGAUACAUUCACUGGAGAUAUGUAAAAUCCAUCAGAUCUUAAUAGCCAAUAACAAUAAACAACACGAAAUCCAAUCCCUCCAAACCUAUCGCACGUUCUUCGCGCAAGUUUAGCAAAGACUUCCAAGCAAUCAUAUGAUUGACCCCACCAAAACUCAGCAUCAAAUGUUGUGGUGCUAUCAAGUCUAUCACAAAAGGACCAAUGAUAAUAAUCGUUUGAAGUGACAUUAUGUUUACCGAGAUCAUCAUCUUUUGAUCUAACAUGCAUAAAAAUAUUAUCAGGAGUACCGUUAAUAAUAUACAUCUUUCAUUGUGGAGUAAAGAAGCAAGAAUUUGUGAUGGAUGGGAAGGAAAAUGCUAGGAUGAGACAAAUCAAGAGGCUACGCAUUGUAUAUGACAAGUUUAAAAGAAACAUAAUUUUAUAAAUUGUAAUAGUUGGUUUUUUAUAGAAAGUUGGGCUCUCAAUCUAUAUCAUGAGAGGAUGUACUCCACCAUGCUAAUAUUUAAGAUGCAUUAACUGCUAGUAAUGUAAGAUAGUAGAUUACACAAAUUAUCCCCGUGGUUUAGCAUAA